GAUGAAGAACGUAGCGAAAUGCGAUAAGUAAUGCGAAUUGCAGAAUUUCCGUGAGUCAUCGAAUCUUUGAACGCACAUUGCGCCCACUGGUAUUCCGGUGGGCAUGCCUGUUCGAGCGUCAUUUCAACCCUCAAGCCCCCGGGCUUGGUGUUGGGGAUCGGCGUGCCCUCGCGGCGCGCCGUCCCCUAAAUCUAGUGGCGGUCUCGCUGUAGCUUCCUCUGCGUAGUAGCAACACUCGCACUGGAUCGCAGCGCGGCCACGCCGUUAAACCCCCCACUUCUGAAAGUUUGACCUCGGAUCAGGUAGGAAUACCCGCUGAACUUAAGCAUAUCAAUAAGCGGAGGA
rnacentral:misc_RNA from 1 species